AGAACGAACGCUGGCGGCAUGCCUAACACAUGCAAGUCGAACGAGACCUUCGGGUCUAGUGGCGCACGGGUGCGUAACGCGUGGGAAUCUGCCCUUGGGUUCGGAAUAACAGUUGGAAACGACUGCUAAUACCGGAUGAUGACGUAAGUCCAAAGAUUUAUCGCCCAGGGAUGAGCCCGCGUAGGAUUAGCUAGUCGGUGAGGUAAAGGCUCACCAAGGCGACGAUCCUUAGCUGGUCUGAGAGGAUGAUCAGCCACACUGGGACUGAGACACGGCCCAGACUCCGUACGGGAGGCAGCAGUGGGGAAUA
rnacentral:rRNA from 1 species